CAGGACAUGGUUUAUGUUUUCUAAAUGAUACCCUGACAGCUAUAUGGGGAAUUGUUAUUAACAGGACAAGAAUCAAAACACAAGUUUAAAAAAAAAGGCGGCACAGCGUUCUCUCCUGAGCAUGAAGCCGGCCCUAGGUGUUGCUUAAUGGCAACUGCCUUUUGCUAUUGAUGUUCGUUCUUCUCUUCCUUUGGAAGAGUAAGAGCGAGCGAACGCAGUCUGAGUGGU
rnacentral:snoRNA from 1 species